GACGAACGCUGGCGGCGUGCCUAAUACAUGCAAGUUGAGCGCUGAAGGUUGGUACUUGUACCAAAUGGAUGAGCAGCGAACGGGUGAGUAACGCGUGGGGAAUCUGCCUUUGAGCGGGGGACAACAUUUGGAAACGAAUGCUAAUACCGCAUAAAAACUUUAAACACAAGUUUUAAGUUUGAAAGAUGCAAUUGCAUCACUCAAAGAUGAUCCCGCGUUGUAUUAGCUAGUUGGUGAGGUAAAGGCUCACCAAGGCGAUGAUACAUAGCCGACCUGAGAGGGUGAUCGGCCACAUUGGGACUGAGACACGGCCCAAACUCCUACGGGAGGCAGCAGUAGGGAAUCUUCGGCAAUGGACGAAAGUCUGACCGAGCAACGCCGCGUGAGUGAAGAAGGGUUUCGGAUCGUAAAACUCUGUUGGUAGAGAAGAACGUUGGUGAGAGUGGAAAGCUCAUCAAGUGACGGUAACUACCCAGAAAGGGACGGCUAACUACGUG
rnacentral:rRNA from 1 species